rnacentral:rRNA from 1 species
AUGAACGCUGGCGGCAGGCCUAACACAUGCAAGUCGAGCGGCAGCGCGGGGCAACCUGGCGGCGAGCGGCGAACGGGUGAGUAACGCGUAGGAAUCUACCCAGUAGCGGGGGAUAUCCCGGGGAAACUCGGAUUAAUACCGCAUACGCCCUAAGGGGGAAAGCAGGGGAUCGCAAGACCUUGCACUAUUGGAAGAGCCUGCGUUGGAUUAGCUAGUUGGUAGGGUAAAGGCCUACCAAGGCGACGAUCCAUAACUGGUCUGAGAGGAUGAUCAGUCAAACCGGAACUGAGACACGGUCCGGACUCCUACGGGAGGCAGCAGUGGGGAAUAUUGGACAAUGGGGGCAACCCUGAUCCAGCCAUGCCGCGUGUGUGAAGAAGGCCUUCGGGUUGUAAAGCACUCUAAGUGGGGAGAAAGGCUCCAACGUUAAUACCGUUGGGGAUUGAUGCUACCCACAGAAUAAGCACCGGCUAACUCUGUGCCAGCCGCCGCCGUAAUAC